GAUGAACGCUGGCGGCGUGCUUAACACAUGCAAGUCGAACGGAAAGGCUCCUGCUUGCAGGGGUACUCGAGUGGCGAACGGGUGAGUAACACGUGGGUGAUCUGCCCUGCACUUCGGGAUAAGCCUGGGAAACUGGGUCUAAUACCGGAUAGGACGAUGGUUUGGAUGCCAUUGUGGAAAGUUUUUCGGUGUGGGAUGAGCUCGCGGCCUAUCAGCUUGUUGGUGGGGUAAUGGCCUACCAAGGCGUCGACGGGUAGCCGGCCUGAGAGGGUGUACGGCCACAUUGGGACUGAGAUACGGCCCAGACUCCUACGGGAGGCAGCAGUGGGGAAUAUUGCACAAUGGGCGCAAGCCUGAUGCAGCGACGCCGCGUGGGGGAUGACGGCCUUCGGGUUGUAAACUCCUUUCGCUAGGGACGAAGCGCAAGUGGCGGUACCUGGAGAAGAAGCACCGGCUAACUACGUG
rnacentral:rRNA from 1 species